UACGUAGGGUGCGAGCGUUAAUCGGAAUUACUGGGCGUAAAGCGUGCGCAGGCGGUUAUGUAAGACAGAUUUGAAAUCCCCGGGCUCAACCUGGGAACUGCAUUUGUGACUGCAUAGCUAGAGUACGGUAGAGGGGGAUGGAAUUCCGCGUGUAGCAGUGAAAUGCGUAGAUAUGCGGAGGAACACCGAUGGCGAAGGCAAUCCCCUGGACCUGUACUGACGCUCAUGCACGAAAGCGUGGGGAGCAAACAGG
rnacentral:rRNA from 1 species